UUUAUGGGGUAAACAACAACAAGUGUUGCCCCAAGCUGGUGAUACGCGCGUGACAAAUAUCGUAUAAGAAAAGCACGAAAAAAUGAAUAUGACAAAGAUGUGCUCAGUGUUGCCCACUAUUUCAAAACAAACUAUUCUAUACUAAAAAGCCUGUAAGCACAUCCAAUUAUGCAUGUAACCAAUAAUGAAGUUGUCUCCAGAUUGUAGGCACAUUGCAAUUUCGCAAUACACGAAAGUACAUAUAAUUUUAGUUGUUCGCUCAAUGUCAUUUCUAACAACAGGUUAAAAUUGCCUCUAUUAGCUCUUUAAAUUUGAAGCCAGCUUUAAACAGACGCAAGCGUAUUACGCAUCACUGGCACUAGGGCAAGCCGGUCUGGGCAAAUACUAAAGUCACUUUUAGUGUAUAUGUUUUAUGUACAUAGGGCAACACUUAAGUUUUAUAUUUAUUGCUGCUUAUAGAACUUCCAACUAUUUCAGCUCGUGAAAUAACCGCAUUAUCAAAGCUGAAAGUGUUAAUGGAGAUAAGGUGACUUUCUAUUUUGUUUUGCAAAAACACGGCCAAUUAUCACAUGCAUACGAAGAAGAGAGCAGCACACGCCAUUGGCCGCAGCCUGGGAACAUUCCCAUGACAAGUGUUGAUAAAUGUCUGGCGUUUAUCAGUUAAAGCGGCGCUUGAAAUGGCACACAGAUUAACAUUUUAGUUGCUUAUGCAAUAGUUGUAAUAUAAAGUAUAGCUCAUAUCAAUAAUUUGCAUUGUAUAAUCAGCUGUAGAACAGUGGCCGCGCCUCUCUCGCAUGUGGGCAUUGAAUGUGCUGGCUUAUCAGCUCGGCAAAGCGCUUUAAUAACUCAAAGCAAGACAACACCUAUCAAAAA